UGACUCCUCUGCCUUUAGGUUCUAUGGUGU
rnacentral:piRNA from 1 species